ensembl:rRNA 5S_rRNA 5S ribosomal RNA
GUCUACGGCCAUACCACCCUGAACGCGCCCGAUCUCGUCUGAUCUCGGAAGCUAAGCAGGGUCGGGCCCGGUUAGUACUUGGAUGGGAGACCGCCUGGGAAUACCGGGUGCCGUAGGCU